UGAAAUGCUAUUUUUCUUCCCUGGUACAAUGUUAAAGCUUUAAACUCUUGUCAAUGAUGUGAUGUUUCAUCUGCAAUGAUCUACACUAGAAAAAUAAAAAUGUAGCUACUGACAAAAAAGCAGGAACUACUGCUGUAAGGAAAAAAGGAGAGCUACAUGAGGACCACACAACUCCUGGAGGAGGUUUCCCUGGCAACACAACUUUUCCAUUCAUCUGGUUGCAGUAUUUUCAUCCAGUAGCCUGUCACCUCACUCAAAAGCAAGGCAGAUUUAUAAAGGAAGCUGCUGGAGGGAAUUCAUUCCCUUUUCGCUGUUCUGCCUUCCACCUUUCACUGUGUGAGGACACUGCAAGAAAGUCCUCAUCAGACACCAAUUGCCAGCACCUAGAUCUUGGAAUUCUCAGCCUCCAGAACUGUGAGAAAUACAUUUUUAUUUUUCUAUAAAAUAAUAAUAAUAAUAAAAAACUUCCAUGCAGGAAAAAAAAAUCAAGUUCAAAUGUCCUGUGGUGAGGGCAUGCCAGCUUUGUUUGAGAAGCAGUAAUCAUGCCUGUGUGACUGUAAUGAAAGAAUAAAAGAUAAAUUAGCAUGGAAGAAUGUAAUGUAGUCCUUUUCACUUUAAGCAAGAAAUUUGGCUUCAAUUCUAAAUCUGGUAAGAAAAAAAUAGAAGGUUCCAAACUAAGAAGUGACAUGAUAUGAAAUGUUUUAACAGAAUCACCUUCGUUACCAUAUUGCAAAUAAAAUGAAAGUGCAUCAAGGGCAGAAGUAGGAAGGCAAGUUAUGAGAUUGUUUUGAUAAUCCAGAAGAGUUGGGAUGGUGACUUAAAGCAGUAUGGUAGCGAUCGGUUGGGUAAGAACAUGGAAUCCUGGGUAUUUAUUAAAGGUUCAGCAAAAAGGAUUUACAGAUGAAACAGAUAUGGGUCAUGAGAAAGAGUCAAGUUAAAGAUUAUAUCAAAAUUUUUUAUCUGAACAACUCACAGUGCUGUGGCAAAUCCUUACCCCAACAAUUUACAUGACCAAUAACUGAGUGGGAACAUUAAGGAGGGGAUGGUUUGAGGAAGAAUCAGGAUCUCAGGUUGGAAAUAUUAAGAUGAAUAUGCCUAUUUAACAAUCAAAUGAAAAAUAGUAUUUUUGUAAUUUUCAGUAUUUAUUUGGCAAGAGAGUAAAUAAUCUAUAGCAUUGUUACUACUUUCUCUUUUUCAUAAAAGUUAUUUUGGUAUAAAAUCAACCUGACUGGAAACUAUUCAAAUAUAUAAGCCUUUAGCUCUGACCUAUUACUUAUAUUUUUUUGCCAUUAAUAAUAUGAAUAUCCACCAAACAAGAACUUGAGACUAUAACUCUUUUCUCCACUAAAUCUUCAUAUUAAAUUAGUCAUUUAAAUAUGAUUAUUCUUUUCAUUUAUUGCUAAAUACUUUCCAUUACAUUCAAACUUAUUGAGACAUCCUUAAAUUUUAUAAUUUAUUUAAUGUAUUAAUUCCCUAGCUUCUAAACUGGUUCUCUCUACUGCAACUCUAUUUUCUUCUUAAUAACUCAUCAUCUACAUUCCCCAAUGUCUUAUUUUUCCAAAACAAAAGUGCACUCAUGUCCUUCUAGGGCAUACAUUUCUUUAAUGGCUUUCCAUUGUUAUAGAUAAAGUUCAAACUUAUUAUGACAGCCUAUAAUUUGGGGGAAAAAACUCACCUAAAAACAGUUUUUAAAGAUUAAAAUUCAAAUGCUUGAAAUUUCAGUUAUUUUAUGAACUUUCUAUUCAAACACGUCAAGGAGCUAAGACAUUACAUACUACACUACUACUAGUACUACUACAAAUCAUAAUAAUAACAACAACAAUUAUAGUUACUCAUCUUAGUUUUGGCAGAGGAUACCAUUUCUAUAAAGAAUGUAAUUAGAUUGUAGAUAUUAAAAUAGUUACUAGACAGAAACUAGGAUGAUGGUAACAUUGACUUUUGAUCUGAGUCCUGGCUAUAUGUUUUCUGUUUGAAAAAAAAGUCAUUAAGUAUAAUAUUAUAAUUUUUAUAA